CAUUGCUCCAAGUUAGUUUAAAAAAAGCAUGUCUUGCAUUCAAAACCUUGUCCAACUCCAUCCCAACUACACUGCUGGUCCAAUAAAAGAUAUCACCUGAAGAAUUCCUUGC